CUCUGGAUGUAGCUCAGUGGUAGAGAGCUUGUCUAGUAUGUACAAGUUGAUCCUGGGUUUAAUCCUGAGUUCAGAGG
rnacentral:tRNA from 1 species